GUGAUGCGUGGUUUUCACCGCUUCUUCCCUCUCCCUCUUCGCCUCAUCCGGUAGAAAUUCGUUUCUGUCGCUCACAAUUCGCGAAAGAAAAUUCUAAACCUCAAACAAACAAAUCGCAUAAAACCUCAAACCCAACAAAAGUAAUGAAAAUGUUACGUGUUAGCAAUCAAGGCAACCAACAUAUGACAUAAACUAAUAGCCUAUCGGAAUUGUAGCUACAAAUCUCCAUCAAAAUUCUUGAGCGGAACCAUCAAAGUUGCUAUUCCUCACAAGACAAUGUUGCUGAGAACGAAACACAGCGUUGCCCACUCGUCCUCCUUUGUCUUGCCAUGCGUCGAUCAUCCUGGAUAGGUCUUCUUCAAUUGGAUCUCUCCAAGUUUCUUUCGGUUUCCAUUUGCUUCUCUCAGCCUUCCUCUCUCUCUCUCAUCGCUACUCACUCUCGCUUUUCCGAUGAAUUUCCAGUCAAAAUUGGGCACGAUGCGUCUCCAAAUCACCACCAAUGGAAGGUAGUUGGAGAAUCGUGGGUUCGGGAGUUCACUAAAAUCGCUUCGAAUUUGCUUUAGUUUUGAUCAGAAGAGGAGGCAGAGGCAGCUAGUGCUGCUCUUGCUGUGACCCAGGAAGUUCUCGUGUUCGUCAACAAUAUCUCUAUGCAUCCGGAGACUUGGCUCAAUUUUCGACGGCGAUGAAGAUUCAGAUGAGGAUCCACAGAGAAAAAAGAGUAAAUCUCAAGAGUGCAGAAUCAUUGACGGUCAGCACCAAACAAGUUGGGUAACUCAUACUAGAAGCCGCUAUAUUUUGAACAAUUGUUUAAAUGUAGAAUGCUAACUUGUUUUUUUGUGCAAAUAUAUUUUAGCUACCAGCUACUGUUCAGUGGUAAAAAAAACUACAGUUUUUGGAGUACAUCAGUAAAAUAAGAGCAGCUAUAUUUUGAACAACUCUUAAUAUGUAUAUAAUAUAAUAUCAGUGUAGAUGGUUAAGUUAUCAACAACUACUAUAUGGUUUUAUGUGAAUACUUUGUACAUGUUUUGUAUAAAUAGUUUCUACAUAUCCAUAUACCAACACUUAAUCCCUUAUUUGCAUACUGAACUUAUAAUUCGCUUGACACUCCCGCGGCAACGCGUGGGUUAAAUCUCUAGUAUCCUCUAAGCAUGCAUGUUGGUUGGAGUCAAAUGCAGAAUCAUAGAAUCAGAAAUUAAGAUCAUAGAAUCAGAAAUUAAGGUAAUCUAUAUACAUUUCAUUUGAAGUUUCCUUUUAUAGAAUUUGCUUCACUGGUGCAGAUAAUGUUAUAACUGUUUUAAUGGUUUGAUGGAUGAUUCAGAACUGCUUCUUUGUAUGCAGAUUACCAUAUGUAUUUGAGAGCACAGCUGAUGAAAAUUUUACCGAACGCAAAUGAUAAAUGUUACGAGCAUGAGAAAGGCAUAACCAAUAUUAAAUCAGCUUUUCAGGUAUGCAUGGAUUCCAGAUUCAAGCCAUCACUUCCGUUUAGUAUGUUGUUUAUCAAUUUGUGAUCAUAACACCGUCAGGCAGUGUUACCAUUGUGAAUGUUAUGUGAGAAAGCAAAGAAAAUUCUAAUGGGAGAAAGCAAAGUUAAGAUUUGGGAUUUUGGAAGUAAUACUAACUGGAAUUAAACAGGUUGCUUAAUUGGUGGACAGAUUAAGCCACUGUGAGAAAGUGAGGUGCCAUGUGUUAUAGUUCUAUACUAAAUUGCAGGAAAAGAUACAUGCAAAGGAGAUGGAGAAUAAUUUGCAAGCCAGGAAACUCUAGAAGCUGAGAUUAGAAUGUUCAGGAAGAAACUGACAUUUAAAGAAGUCCAAUGCCAAUCUUCUAUCAGGAGCCUCCACCUCCUAAAGCGGACCUGAAGAAGGUAUAUCUUUCUUCCUUCAAAAUCACAAAUAGCAUGAUGUAUAUUAUUUUGUUCAUGUGCAAUUUCCAGUUCUCUGGUGAAUCUGAUUCCACGCUUUAGUUUGGAAAAAUCUUAUUUUGUCAUAUAUAGAAAAGUGGUGGGGCGUGCAAGUACAGUAUUGAUGGACUUCUAAAUGGUGGUUAGUAUAGUUUAUAAAUUUGUAAUGCAUGUGCUCUCUAACCUUAAGCAUGUCUUCAUCAUGAUCACAGAAGGCCAUGAUCCUGUUGGACACAUGCUGGUUGCAUGUUUUCUUAUAUUACAGUUGUCUGUGUAGGAUGCCUUUGGUAGAUUUUCCCCUUAUAUUUCUUAUUUUAGUAGGAUGUGCAACUUUUAACAAUUGCAUACUUGGUAUACUGGUCCUAAGUUAUUUUCCCAUUCUUCAAUAUUGUACAGGUAAUUUUCCUUCAGGUUCGACAGGAAGAGAGUGCAUCUUUUAUCACUUAUACUUCUGAGUUCAUGCACCUUUUUCAUUCUUUGCAAAUUGAACAUGUUAAUCAAGCCAAUCCUUCAAGUUAUCAAUCACUUAAUCAUACUCUCACAAUCCUACCCCAUUCAGUCUGUUGGUCGGAAUGGUGGUCGUAUCUGAGUUAUUUUUGACAGUUACAGCUACCAUGCUCCAUUUGAUUGGAAAGGAGGCACCGCAGGCGUAUUUUGAUGCUGCCAACAACUGUUUUACCAAAAAUUGCACUGUGUAUUACAGUUCUUACUUUGUUAGUAUACCGAAAGCUUAUAAAAAAUCGAUGUCAAGUAUCUUGACUAAUAUGUAGUCUAAACACGCAUUCCUACUACGACUAAUUAAGUUGGCACUGCAUUGUGAUAAUCUUGCUUCACUGUACUUGGCUGUUAUUUGACAGCAUCUGCUUUAUUUUGGCCUUGACAACUUUAGUGCAAUUG